UUUACGAAAAUUAGUGACAUUUAUCGGUUCAAACACUGCUAAUUAAUCCCCAAAAUUUUGAAAUUGACCCAGUCCCCUCCAUUUCUGCCGAUAGCUAUGAGUUUUUCCUCCGUUUGCUUUUGAUUUUUUGAUUUGAAACACCAUAUUUCCACGCUUUUUUCAUUCCUUUUCCUUUCUCUUUCUUUUCCAUAAGAUUCCUUCUGAUUUCUUUUUCUAAAAAUUUUUGGGUAAUGGGUUGGUAUUUAGGGACACCAGAUUCCACGUUUUUUUUCAUUGCUUUUCCAGUUUGAAACACCAUAAGGCAUUUUAGGGUAAUGGGUUGGUAUUUGGGGACAUAGUUGGGAAAAAAAAUAAAGGGAAAGGUAAAGUUAGUUGGGUUUGUGAGAUUGUGGGUAUUCAGAUGGCCAGUGGUGGGGAGUUUGUCGUGCCUGUGGUCAUUCCGGGAUGAUGAGAAGCCUUUCAGAAGUGGAAACUAAGAAUAGAGGCUUAAAAUUGAAAUUUUAAGUUCAUACUGGAAGCUUAUUUCAUGUGUCUAUAUAUAUAUAUAUAUUUUUUUUUUUUUUUUUCUGUUUAUAGGUUCAUUGGUUUUGAUUGGUGAUGAUCCUGGUGUUGGAAAGAGUGCCCUACUUUUGCCGGUUUAUUGGUUUUCAUUGGUUCAUUAUCUGUUGAUUCGAGCCUUCGGACGUUUCUUUCAUUAGGUGCACAGGGGAAGAUCUCUGGUGGAACUCAACCUCCUCGUGAUGUCGAUGAUUCAUUUUCAAGACUUGCUGGUGGCUUUGAUGAACCUCAAGGAAGUGGAUGGUUUCGUACAUUCACUGUUGCUGUAUACAAGCCAUACUUCGAUGUUGAUACUGCAGAUGUUUUGGAUAGACUUAAGGAGUAACUCUUUCCAUUUAGAGGAACAUUUACAGAAAAAAAAAUCUACCAACCUAGAUUUGUGAGUUUUCUCCAUGUGACUCAUUUAUGUUUAAAUAGAGUAGUGAGCUAAGCAUUGAAUAAUUGUUGAAUGUAUAUAUAUGGGAAAUUAUUUCAGCUUGAGACUGGUAAGUUUCUUUUCUAUUUCACUUGAUUAGAAUAUGUUUAUUUAGGAAUGGGUAGCUAAAACACUAUAAAAAGAGCAAAAAGAGUUGAUCCUUGACAGGUUUUAAUUUCUUGGUUCUGGAUAAUUCCUAGACAUGAAAUACAAGUGUGCCCCUGAUUUUGCCUUUUUAUCACAUUAAUUUAAUAACCUUAACUUUCAUGUGACGAAAAUAUUCCAUUGUCUCUUCUGCACCCAUCUUUGUCCCUUUUCUAUGAGUAUGACCAUCCAUAAUUGAAAGUUUUAAAUUUUGUGCAGAUAUGGACCAUUCUGGAUAUGCACCACUCUUAUAUUUAUAGCAACAUCUAUUGGGACUUUUGUGACAUAUAUAGCACACAAAAGAAUGGGAUUAUAACAUAAAUUUGGUGACAUAGUCUGUUGGUGUGUUCUAUGGCUAUGUCACUGUGGUUCCUCUUGCCUUGUAUGUUAUUCUCAAGUAGAUGUAAAUAACAUUUAUUGCAUUUGCAUGCAAAGAUGUAAAUAAUAUAAUUUUAUUUA